CUGGAUUGCCCGGCCAGUAUCCCUGCUGACACAAGUGAGGAGGGAGAAGAGGGAGAUUGCACAUGGAGACCAAGACCGGAGUUUGGUGAUGGUGGCCAGCCUGUGCUGGCCACACAAAUUACUCGAUAUUUUCCAAGAUCGUGUUAAAGAAUUGACAGUGAGAACUGAAUUGGAAAUGAAAUUCUCAGGCUGAGAUUCUGGGUCCAAGAGAAGCCAACUCCAAGAGGGAGGGCCCCUGGGGCACCUUACACUCUGGGAGUACAGAGCCAAGAUAAUAGUUUGUGCUUGGAACAGUGCCAGGAAUGUGG